GAACGCGAAGAACCUUACCAGGGCUUGACAUGCCGGUGGUACAGAGUGGAAACACGACGGACCCUUCGGGGAGCCGGCACAGGUGGUGCAUGGUUGUCGUCAGCUCGUGCCGUGAGGUGUUGGGUUAAGUCCCGCAACGAGCGCAACCCUUACCUCUAGUUGCCAGCGCAGAUGGUGGGCACUCUAGAGGGACUGCCGUCGACAAGGCGGAGGAAGGUGGGGAUGACGUCAAAUCAUCAUGCCCUUUAUGCCCUGGGCUACACACGUGCUACAAUGGCCGGUACAACGGGAGGCGAAGGGGCGACCUGGAGCAAAUCCCAAAAAACCGGUCUCAGUUCGGAUUGCAGGCUGCAACUCGCCUGCAUGAAGGCGGAAUCGCUAGUAAUCGCCGGUCAGCAUACGGCGGUGAAUGCGUUC
rnacentral:rRNA from 1 species